UGAGAAACGGCAACUGUUUUUCAACUCGGAGCUGCUGCACAAAACAGCGGAUGAACAGCUCGCAGCAUCAAAAGCUAAAAGUGGGCAAUGUGGGCAGU